UCCGGUGUGGUGUAGCGGUAACAUUGUUGACUCUCAUCUGCUGUAUCACAGCUUCUGCUUGCUCAAUAGCCCGGGGUUCGAUUCCCCGCAUCGGAA